AGUUUGACCUGAACUCCUCUGAGACCGGUAUCGUUUACACUGUUCACUAUGGCUUCUACGCUUGUGGGUGCAUCGUCGCUGGAGUCAUUUCCCAUUUUAAGGGUGAUGGCUGGUGCAUGGUGCUAGGCCAGUGCAGCUGCACAAUUGGAUUCCUUGUCAUGGCACCAGUCUCAUUUAUUGCCACAGAAAGAGAACUUUGGAAUGUGUAUGCAUGCCAAAUCCUUGUUGGCACAGGGACGUCCUUUUUAUUCAUAUGUGCAUACAGCCAUGUGCUUCAACACGUUAUGCGCCGUGGAUAUCCAAAUAACUUCCGCACCAACAGCUUUGUCUCCAGCUGUGUGUUCUCCUUCUUGGUUGUCGGGUGAGUGACGGAGCAUCGAAGCG